AGCAGCCGCGGUAAUUCCAGCUCCAAUAGCGUAUAUUAAAGUUGUUGCAGUUAAAAAGCUCGUAGUUGAAUUUCGGGGUUAGUAGGCUGGUCGUGCCACUGGUACGUACUGGUCUCACUGACUCCUCCUUCCUGAUGAACUGUAAUGCCAUUAAUUUGGUGUUGCAGGGAAACUGGACUGUUACUUUAGAAAAAUUAGAGUGUUUAAAGCAAGCUAACGCUUGAAUACAUUAGCAUGGAAUAAUGAAAUAGGACGUUCGAUCCUAUUUUGUUGGUUUCUAGGAUUGACGUAAUGAUUAAUA
rnacentral:rRNA from 1 species